rnacentral:rRNA from 1 species
GCGGCAGGCUAAACACAUGCAAGUCGAGGGGUAGAGGAAGCUUGCUUCCUUGAGACCGGCGCACGGAUGCGUAACGCGUAUGCAACCUACCUUUUACAGAGGGAUAGCCCAGAGAAAUUUGGAUUAAUACCUCAUGGUAUAUAUCAUUCGCAUGUUUGAUAUAUUAAAGUUCCAACGGUAAAAGAUGGGCAUGCGUCCUAUUAGCUAGAUGGUAAGGUAACGGCUUACCAUGGCAACGAUAGGUAGGGGGCCUGAGAGGGAGAUCCCCCACACUGGUACUGAGACACGGACCAGACUCCUACGGGAGGCAGCAGUGAGGAAUAUUGGACAAUGGGCGCAAGCCUGAUCCAGCCAUGCCGCGUGCAGGAAGAAGCAUCUAUGGUGUGUAAACUGCUUUUGUACGGGAAGAAACACUCCUUCGUGAAGGAGCUUGACGGUACCGUAAGAAUAAGGAUCGGCUAACUCCGUGCCAGCAGCCGCGGUAAUACGGAGGAUCCAAGCGUUAUCCGGAAUCAUUGGGUUUAAAGGGUUCGUAGGCGGUUUGGUAAGUCAGUGGUGAAAGCCCGCAGCUCAACUGUGGAACGGCCAUUGAUACUGGCAGACUUGAAUUCAAGGGAAGUAACUAGAAUAUGUAGUGUAGCGGUGAAAUGCUUAAAUAUUACAUGGAAUACCAAUUGCGAAGGCAGGGUACUACUUGUGGAUUGACGCUGAUGGACGAAAGCGUGGGAAGCGAACAGGAUUAGAUACCCUGGUAGUCCACGCCGUAAACGAUGGAUACUAACU